rnacentral:rRNA from 1 species
UGGGGAAUAUUGGACAAUGGGCGAAAGCCUGAUCCAGCCAUGCCGCGUGUGUGAAGAAGGUCUUCGGAUUGUAAAGCACUUUAAGUUGGGAGGAAGGGCAGUAAGCGAAUACCUUGCUGUUUUGACGUUACCGACAGAAUAAGCACCGGCUAACUCUGUGCCAGCAGCCGCGGUAAUACAGAGGGUGCAAGCGUUAAUCGGAAUUCCUGGGCGUAAAGCGCGCGUAGGUGGUUCGUUAAGUUGAAUGUGAAAGCCCCGGGCUCAACCUGGGAACUGCAUCCAAAACUGGCGGGCUAGGGUAGGGCAGAGGGUGGUGGAAUUUCCUGUGUAGCGGUGAAAUGCGUAGAUAUAGGAAGGAACACCAGUGGCGAAGGCGACCACCUGGGCUCAUACUGACACUGAGGUGCGAAAGCGUGGGGAGCAAACAGG